rfam:Salmo salar isolate Sally breed double haploid chromosome ssa10, whole genome shotgun sequence.
UGUAUUCACUACUGUAAGUCGCUCUGGAUAAGAGAGUCCGCUAAAUGACUAAAA